rnacentral:misc_RNA from 1 species
GCAAACUUGGUCAUUUAGAGGAAGUAAAAGUCGUAACAAGGUCUCCGUUGGUGAACCAGCGGAGGGAUCAUUAUCGAGUUACCGCUCCUUAUAACCCUUUGUGAACAUACCUCAAACGUUGCCUCGGCGGGCAGCCGGAGCCCAGCUCCGGCGCCCGGAGCCGCCUUCUCGGCGCGCCCCACCCGCCGGCGGACCACUAAACUCUAUUUCAACGACGUCUCUUCUGAGUGGUACAAGCAAAUAAUCAAAACUUUUAACAACGGAUCUCUUGGUUCUGGCAUCGAUGAAGAACGCAGC